rnacentral:lncRNA from 1 species
UUGAUGCAGGUUGUUAUGGUUCAUGAAGCAAUUUUCAAGAAUUUUAUCAAAGCUUGGGAUGACACCAUGGCUAACAUGGAAUCAAGUCAAAGCUUAGUGAACAAACUUCAAUAACUUGGAUGAACAAAGAAAGAAUGACUUGUAACAUGAAGAAGAAAUGAAUAUUAGGGUUUAAGAUUAUGUAGUUAACUUUGGUCAACCGUUGGUCAAAAAGUCAAUAGUUGACCAAAAGUCAACCUAGGUAAAAAAAUAGGACUUUCUUGACGUAAUUGUAUGGACUUGUAAUGGAUACUUAAAAAGUACAUUUGAUGAUUUUAUAAUAAAAUGGCUCUUUUGAAAUGAAAAU